rnacentral:misc_RNA from 1 species
GAUGAAGAACGUAGCGAAAUGCGAUAAGUAAUGUGAAUUGCAGAAUUCAGUGAAUCAUCGAAUCUUUGAACGCACAUUGCGCCCCUUGGUAUUCCGGGGGGCAUGCCUGUUCGAGCGUCAUUAUCACCCCUCAAGCUCAGCUUGGUGUUGGGGCCUGCCCGUCACAGGGCAGCCCUUAAAAGCAGUGGCGGUGCCAUCUGGCUCUACGCGUAGUAAUACUUCUCACGACAGAGUCCCGGUGGUGUCCUGCCAGAACCCCCCAUAUUUUUAAUGAUUGACCUCGGAUCAGGUAGGGAUACCCGCUGAACUUAAGCAUAUCAAUAAGCGGAGGA